rnacentral:rRNA from 1 species
AGGCCCACCAAGGCGACGAUCAGUAGCCGACCUGAGAGGGUGACCGGCCACAUUGGGACUGAGACACGGCCCAAACUCUUACGGGAGGCAGCAGUGGGGAAUAUUGCACAAUGGGGGAAACCCUGAUGCAGCGACGCCGCGUGAGCGAAGAAGUAUUUCGGUAUGUAAACUUCUAUCAGCAGGGAAGAAUAAAAUGACGGUACCUGACUAAGAAGAACCGGCUAAAUAC